rnacentral:rRNA from 1 species
UUCAGCGGCGGACGGGUGAGUAAUGCCUAGGAAUCUGCCUGGUAGUGGGGGACAACGUUUCGAAAGGAACGCUAAUACCGCAUACGUCCUACGGGAGAAAGCAGGGGACCUUCGGGCCUUGCGCUAUCAGAUGAGCCUAGGUCGGAUUAGCUAGUUGGUGAGGUAAUGGCUCACCAAGGCGACGAUCCGUAACUGGUCUGAGAGGAUGAUCAGUCACACUGGAACUGAGACACGGUCCAGACUCCUACGGGAGGCAGCAGUGGGGAAUAUUGGACAAUGGGCGAAAGCCUGAUCCAGCCAUGCCGCGUGUGUGAAGAAGGUCUUCGGAUUGUAAAGCACUUUAAGUUGGGAGGAAGGGCAGUAAGUUAAUACCUUGCUGUUUUGACGUUACCGACAGAAUAAGCACCGGCUAACUUCGUGCCAGCAGCCGCGGUAAUACGAAGGGUGCAAGCGUUAAUCGGAAUUACUGGGCGUAAAGCGCGCGUAGGUGGUUUGUUAAGUUGGAUGUGAAAGCCCCGGGCUCAACCUGGGAACUGCAUCCAAAACUGGCAAGCUAGAGUAUGGCAGAGGGUGGUGGAAUUUCCUGUGUAGCGGUGAAAUGCGUAGAUAUAGGAAGGAACACCAGUGGCGAAGGCGACCACCUGGGCUA